rnacentral:lncRNA from 1 species
AUAAUGUUGAAUUCAGUACCUGGUAACUAGAAGCUGACCAGAUGUUUGACUUCUUUUAUGAGAAUAAGAUUAUGAGAGAUGGUCACCUGAAUAUUUCUAAAUUCAUUGAACCUCCAGGAGAAGACAAAGGUUGGAAUUGCUGUGUGUUCCCCACUGGCUGGCAAUGGCUGGCUGCAAUCAUCGUAUUACAACUAACACAUGGGGUCAGGAGAUACAACUUGGAGAUAUACUCCAAUUGGCCAGUAAUUUUCCCAUUUGUCGGCCAGAAUGAAGCACAAUCAAUCAGGUA